rnacentral:rRNA from 1 species
AGAGUUUGAUCCUGGCUCAGAAUCAACGCUGGCGGCGUGCCUAACACAUGCAAGUCGAACGCGAAAGCCCCGCAAGGGGCAAGUAGAGUGGCAAACGGGUGAGUAACACGUGGGUGACCUGCCUUCGAGCGGGGGAUAACGUCCCGAAAGGGACGCUAAUACCGCAUGACAUCCUGCCUUUGAAGAGGCGGAGAUCAAAGCUGGGGAUCGCAAGACCUAGCACUCGAAGAGGGGCCCGCGCCUGAUUAGCUAGUUGGUGGGGUAAUGGCUCACCAAGGCGACGAUCAGUAGCCGGCCUGAGAGGGCGGACGGCCACACUGGGACUGAGACACGGCCCAGACUCCUACGGGAGGCAGCAGUGGGGAAUUGUUCGCAAUGGGCGCAAGCCUGACGACGCAACGCCGCGUGGAGGACGAAGACCUUCGGGUCGUAAACUCCUUUCGAUCGAGACGAACAGCCUUCGGGGUGAACAACCCGGAGGAAUGACGGUACCGAGAGAAGAAGCCCCGGCUAACUCCGUGCCAGCAGCCGCGGUAAUACGGGGGGGGCAAGCGUUGUUCGGAAUUACUGGGCGUAAAGGGCUCGUAGGCGGCCAACUAAGUCAGACGUGAAAUCCCUCGGCUUAACCGGGGAACUGCGUCUGAUACUGGAUGGCUUGAGAUUGGGAGAGGGAUGCGGAAUUCCAGGUGUAGCGGUGAAAUGCGUAGAUAUCUGGAGGAACACCGGUGGCGAAGGCGGCAUCCUGGACCAACACUGACGCUGAGGAGUGAAAGCCAGGGGAGCAAACGGGAUUAGAUACC